rnacentral:rRNA from 1 species
AGAGUUUGAUCAUGGCUCAGGAUGAACGCUAGCUACAGGCUUAACACAUGCAAGUCGAGGGGAAACGACAUCGAAAGCUUGCUUUUGAUGGGCGUCGACCGGCGCACGGGUGAGUAACGCGUAUCCAACCUGCCCACCACUUGGGGAUAACCUUGCGAAAGUAAGACUAAUACCCAAUGAUAUCUCUAGAAGACAUCUGAAAGAGAUUAAAGAUUUAUCGGUGAUGGAUGGGGAUGCGUCUGAUUAGCUUGUUGGCGGGGUAACGGCCCACCAAGGCAACGACCAGUAGGGUUCUGAGAGGAAGGUCCCCCACAUUGGAACUGAGACACGGUCCAAACUCCUACGGGAGGCAGCAGUGAGGAAUAUUGGUCAAUGGGCGAGAGCCUGAACCAGCCAAGUAGCGUGCAGGAAGACGGCCCUAUGGGUUGUAAACUGCUUUUAUAAGGGAAUAAAGUGAGUCUCGUGAGACUUUUUGCAUGUACCUUAUGAAUAAGGACCGGCUAAUUCCGUGCCAGCAGCCGCGGUAAUACGGAAGGUCCGGGCGUUAUCCGGAUUUAUUGGGUUUAAAGGGAGCGUAGGCCGGAGAUUAAGCGUGUUGUGAAAUGUAGACGCUCAACGUCUGCACUGCAGCGCGAACUGGUUUCCUUGAGUACGCACAAAGUGGGCGGAAUUCGUGGUGUAGCGGUGAAAUGCUUAGAUAUCACGAAGAACUCCGAUUGCGAAGGCAGCUCACUGGAGCGCAACUGACGCUGAAGCUCGAAAGUGCGGGUAUCGAACAGGAUUAGAUACCCUGGUAGUCCGCACGGUAAACGAUGGAUGCCCGCUGUUGGUCUGAACAGGUCAGCGGCCAAGCGAAAGCAUUAAGCAUCCCACCUGGGGAGUACGCCGGCAACGGUGAAACUCAAAGGAAUUGACGGGGGCCCGCACAAGCGGAGGAACAUGUGGUUUAAUUCGAUGAUACGCGAGGAACCUUACCCGGGCUUGAAUUGCAGAGGAAGGAUUUGGAGACAAUGACGCCCUUCGGGGUCUCUGUGAAGGUGCUGCAUGGUUGUCGUCAGCUCGUGCCGUGAGGUGUCGGCUUAAGUGCCAUAACGAGCGCAACCCCUCUCCUUAGUUGCCAUCAGGUUAAGCUGGGCACUCUGGGGACACUGCCACCGUAAGGUGUGAGGAAGGUGGGGAUGACGUCAAAUCAGCACGGCCCUUACGUCCGGGGCUACACACGUGUUACAAUGGCAGGUACAGAG